GGAGAUGGAGAUGGAGAUGGAGAUGGAGAUGGAGAUGGAGAUGGAGAUGUGACAGGUGGAAGGGGGUCAAGAUGCUGCGAGACCCUGCUGAGCUUUUCCAUCAGCAUUUCAAAUGUGCGCUGGGCCUGGAUAAGCACAUCAGCUGGCCUCGGGCCUGGAUGAGCACCUUUACUGUCCCGAGGCAGACGUUAUCUGGACGCACAAACUGAUGUAGACGCUUGUGUUCCUAUGUGAAGAAGGAAAAAUAAAAGAUCAUUUAUAUAAAUAACAAACAAAAACGGAGGAUGAACCAGAGAAUACACACGCAUCGAAUUCAGAGAGUGACGGUCACGUGCUCAUCAUAAGCGACCCCAUUCCAGUCACUUUCCAAAGCUGUGUCUUCGGCAGGGCGAGAGCAGGCUUGGACUCGCAAGCAUGCACCACAGCAGCGGCAACAGGAAAGUGCGAGCCCUGCAGCGCAGAAGAGAGAGCGAGCUCAGCUAUCCAAGAUGGCAGGACCAGCAUGGUCGGCACUUCUGCUGUAAAUCAGAUACAGGAAGAGAAAUCGCUGGAAAAGCUCAGUGGGUCUGGCGGCAUUUGUGGAGAGAAAUCAGAGUUAACACUUCCUGAUUUACAGCAUUCGCAGUUCUUUCUGUUUUUACUUAGUGCGUGUCUUAUAAAUUACCAAGUUGGAGUGGUCCUGAAAUCUGUCCUAAAAAUCCAACUGCUUGAGGAAGAUGACCCUGCCAUCCAAUCUACUUGUCUGUGGGAAUAGAUAUAAACAGAGGAGAACCUGAUGAAGGAAGAGGGAAUUUAUUUUGACCAGAAUCUCUCAAUCCCUCACCAGCAAGGAGGAUCAGGGGAGCAGGUGUAUUUGAAUAUCUUCAAGUUUGUUCUCAAUCCCACAUUGUCCUGAUUUGUUCGAUAUCCAGGACUAGAGGAAAAGUUCCUCCAUCAAAUACUGGGAAGACUGGAGUCUUCAGACAUCACAACAAACUGCAGGUGUUUUUAUCCCCUCUCGUGGUAACUGCCUCAAGCCAGACUUUUCACAACCAAGGCAAAAUAUUACACCCACAUCUCCCACCCAUCAUCGCAAGACCAUCUGGUCCCACCUCCCUAACGAGAAUAGAAGGUGUUAGAACUAUUCAGCAGGUCAGAUGGUGUCUGUAGAGGGAGAGUAAAAUGUUUCGCUCACAACGACUUCCAUCAGAGCUCAGGGAAAGUGAAUAAAUCGCAGGGUUUGAGGAGGGGAACAGGACUUGUGGAUCAGAAAAAGUGGCUGUGGGAUAGAGUGGAUCCACCUCAUUAACAUCAGUAACUUUACCUCAACCUCAGUUCAACUGUUUCUGAAUCUCUCAUCCUUCCUUCUGUGGGCCCCUAGUCUGGUCAACACUGACACCUUUUUGUCUAACCUCCGACAUUCUACCACCACAAGUGGGCGAUAAUCCAAACCCAAAAGUUGUUAGUCACAAGAUACCCCUUUUCACCAAUGAUCAUUUUGUCCACUGAUCUACAAAGAUCUCCUGCCCAAGCAACAUUUCAAUUUUAAAAUUUGCACUCUUGCAAUCCCAGAAGCAACAGACAAACCUGAUGACUUCCACGUUCAAAAGCCAAUGAUAUGAUAUGGUGGCUCAGUGGUUAGCACUGCUGCCUCACAGCACCAGGGACCUGGGUUCAAUUCCAGCCUUGGGCAACUCUGUGUCGAGUUUGCAUAUUCUUUCCCCCACCCCCGUGUCUGCGUGGAUUUCCUCUAGGUGUUCUGGUUUCCUCCCAUAAUCCAAAGAUGUUUAGGUCAGGUGAAUUAGCCAUGCUAAGUUGCCCGUAGUGUUAGGUGCAUGAGUCAGGGGUAAAUGUAGUAAAAAGAAAUGGGACUGGGUGGGUUAAUCUUCAGAGGGUCGGUGUUAACCAAAGGGUAUGUUCCCAUACCGGAGGGAAUCUAAUAUGAUAUCCAGGGCCCAGUGAAUGCACUGAGUUCGGAUCUCAUGUUUAGUUUGAGCUCCCCAUCUACCGAUACUUCUUGUUUAAUAUCAUGGCGUAGGAAGUUACCAAAAAAAAACUGAUAGAAAUUCACAACAUUGCUUCCUCAUGCUGAGGAUGAGUCACAGAGAUCUGGCAGCACAGAGAAAGGCCCUUCAGCUCAUUACCUCCAUGCCGAUUAAACAGAACCACCUAACUGUUCCAACCCAUUCCCCAACACUUGGCUAUAACCUUAUACAGAGAAACCUCGAUUAUCCGAACCAGAUGUGUGAGCACUAUUUUGUCUGGAUAAUUGAUUUUAGCUUAAACAUGGGAAGCCAUGCUGUUCUAAUACUGUGCUCUCCCAGAGAAUUUCUAUGAAUCUGCUGUUGCAACAAACUAAUUCUUUCAGUCUGCAAAUCUCAGGUUAAACUGAGGAGGACUAAGUCCUUACCGUCACGUAAAUGCUGUAUGUGAAAUCCCGGCAUUAAACAAGGUCCCAGGGAGCUUCUGCGAUUAGAAGAGCAUUUCUCAGUUUCCUGGAGCUCAGUGUCACGAUAGGAAGACAGAAGCACAGCCUCAGGCGUGCAUUUACGUUCUCAGCCUUGUUUUUAAUGACCCGGAAAGUGAUGGCAAUACCCUGCACUGUACUGUAAAACACUUACUUUUGCAAAGGGCA